UAGGGCGUAGUAUACGAGUAUAUCUUAAUUACAAUAAGAAGGUUAAAGCUCUAA
rnacentral:tRNA from 1 species